rnacentral:rRNA from 1 species
GGGAAGGCUAAAACAGUCAGGAUGUUGGCUUAGAAGCAGCCAUCAUUUAAAGAAAGCGUAAUAGCUCACUGAUCGAGUCGUCCUGCGCGGAAGAUGUAACGGGGCUAAGCCAGUUACCGAAGCUGCGGAUGCACAGUUUACUGUGCGUGGUAGGAGAGCGUUCUGUAAGCCUGUGAAGGUGUCUGGUAACGGAUGCUGGAGGUAUCAGAAGUGCGAAUGCUGACAUGAGUAGCGUUAAAGGGGGUGAAAAGCCCCCUCGCCGUAAGCGCAAGGUUUCCUACGCAACGUUCAUCGGCGUAGGGUGAGUCGGCCCCUAAGGCGAGGCAGAGAUGCGUAGCUGAUGGGAAACAGGUCAAUAUUCCUGUACCGAUCAAUAGUGCGAUGUGGGGACGGAGAAGGUUAGCUCAGCCAACUGUUGGAUAUGUUGGUUCAAGCGUGUAGUCGUGCUCUUUAGGCAAAUCCGGAGAGCUAAGAUGAGGCGUGAUAACGAGUCUGCUUGCAGACGAAGUGAGUGAUACCCUGCUUCCAGGAAAAGCCACUAAGCUUCAGCUAUUGACGACCGUACCGCAAACCGACACUGGUGCGCGAGAUGAGUAUUCUAAGGCGCUUGAGAGAACUCAGGAGAAGGAACUCGGCAAAUUGACACCGUAACUUCGGGAGAAGGUGUACCCCAAGUAAGUGAAGUUGUACAAAUGGAGCUCAAAGGGGUUGCAAAAAAUUGGUGGCUGCGACUGUUUAAUAAAAACACAGCACUCUGCAAACACGAAAG